UACGAAGGGGGCUAGCGUUGUUCGGAAUCACUGGGCGUAAAGGGCGCGUAGGCGGCUUUAUAAGUCGGGGGUGAAAGCCCGUGGCUCAACCACAGAAUUGCCUUCGAUACUGCAUGGCUUGAGACCGGAAGAGGUUAGUGGAACUGCGAGUGUAGAGGUGAAAUUCGUAGAUAUUCGCAAGAACACCAGUGGCGAAGGCGGCUGACUGGUCCGGUUCUGACGCUGAGGCGCGAAAGCGUGGGGAGCAAACAGG
rnacentral:rRNA from 1 species